rnacentral:rRNA from 1 species
GACGAACGCUGGCGGCACGCUUAACACAUGCAAGUCGAACGUGAAGCUCCGAGCUUGCUCGGGGUGGAAAGUGGCGAACGGGUGAGUAACACGUGAGAAACCUGCCCCGAAGACCGGGAUAACACCGGGAAACCGGUGCUAAUACCGGAUUCCCUCACCGGACCGCAUGAUCCGGUGAGGAAAUGGAUUCCGCUUCGGGAUGGUCUCGCGGCCUAUCAGCUUGUUGGUGGGGGAACGGCCCACCAAGGCUUCGACGGGUUGCCGGUCUGAGGGGAUGUCCAGCCACACUGGGACUGAGACACGGCCCAGACUCCUACGGGAGGCAGCAGUGGGGAAUCUUGCGCAAUGGGCGAAAGCCUGACGCAGCGAUGCCGCGUGCGGGAUGAAGGCCUUAGGGUUGUAAAGCUCUUUUACCCGGGAUGAUAAUGACAGUACCGGGAGAAUAAGCUCCGGCUAACUCCGUGCCAGCCGCCGCCGUAACAC